GUAGGGUGGUGUUGUUACACCUACACUCCCUGCUUUUACAUUCACAUUCAAUCAGCCCAACUAUCGUCAGCCUAGUCACUGAUAACCUCCACUUAGAUGGAGAUAAAAGGACCAGACGUUGUGUGCGUGCAUUACGGUGUCUGUAACCACACCCCUUCUCCUGUUGAGGUGCUUUCCUGAUUUGCCGGCCCUGUAUUCCUAGCCUUCCCUCUGACGCUCGCCUUCGGUAUGUCCUUGUCCCUGCAUGUUCAGUGAGGAACCGUACUUCGCCGCUGACCUCGUCGUUCCUGUGAUAACCGUCUGAUAACUGUCUGAUAACUGCCUGAUCACAAAGGUGCUGCUGUUUUGUUUAAGCCUGACAAUGCGUGUGUGAUUCAGCAUGCUCGUGACUCUGCCAAACUGUUGUUGUGCAUGCUGGUCUGACAUAUAUCUGAGCUGGGUUUUCGUUUUCUUUGUUAUGUUCUUUUUGUCUGAGCAUUGUACCAUCUUGUCCACUCCAAUGGAGUAAUGCUUCUGUCUAGUGUGUGUUCUGUCUGCAUGUGACUGGGCAUAAGGCUGGUGGCGCUGUAGCUGUCCUGGUGCAUGCUUGUUGUUUGUUCUGGUCUGUAGUUAGCCUCGAUACAUGAUUGCUAUUACUGUCUGAGUGUUUCAUGCUUAGGAUGGACUGUUGAUAUCCCCUGGUGCAAUAAUUGUUUUCAUUUUAUUUGUUAAGCAGUUGCUAGGUGCUUCCAGAGGGAGGCUAGGCACCUGGUGGUGGGCCCCUGUCACUGCAUGCGGGUGUAUCAAGCUGGUUAGUGUGCUGUGGGUGUGCCGUGAUUGUGCUGUGUGUGCAGUGUGCUGUGGGUUGCUUGCCGUGUCAUAGUUCACCU